GCACUGCUGAAGAGUCCCACAAUAGGACGAAACGGCUGCUCAGUGC
rfam:Schistosoma haematobium scaffold163_37, whole genome shotgun sequence.